rnacentral:lncRNA from 15 species
UGGCUUGUUGCGUUAGCUAGCUGGUAGAGUGCUUGGAAGCUUGAUGGGGACAGAAAAGUCACCAAUAUUUGCAUUGGUCACGUAUUUUGUUGCCAUGUCAAUCCUGGCCAAUCAUAAGAAAGAUCUGUUAUUAAGGCGUUUCCAGUAGCACAUUUCGUCCAAUGAGAGGCAUCUUGACACAAAAGAGGCCGCCUCCUUUAGUUGAUUGACACACAAUUUAACAUCUGCAGUGCAGGAAAGGAUAUAAUGUAUAAUCGAGAUAAAGCAAUUAUAUUAUAAAGAACACACUCCGUUAUUUCCCUUCCCAGCCAAUCAUUAAAAGAAGACGCAUUCUUAAUAAAGACAUGUGGGCAAUAGUGCUUAUAUGUCAACAUUCUGCUUAUAUUUAUCAUAUAAACUGAGAAUGUGGUGGGGAAAAAAUAAGCCCUAUUAUUAAUGAGCAUUAUAUACCUUUAAAUAUUCUAACUUUCAUUUUGCAUUUGACACUUGUUUGAAUCAUAUUAUUUGAUUGUCUCACUAUUUUUCUGAUGUUAAGGUUGGCUAUAUCCUCCUUACCAGACCCUAGCUGUGAAGGACCAGAAGUUUCAAUAAUGGUUUGGAGUCGAAAUCAGUCUAGGCCAAGGGCAAAUUGCAGCACAUCCCUCUGUCUGCUGAGAAGAGCAUGGGUCAUGACCUCCUCUUAUGCAGCCAGGAAAAUAAUUUGGGACCUCCAUCACCCCAGACCUACCCAAAACUCUCCCUGGCACUUCCACGCUAAUCAACCCUCCACCUCCUCACCUUUCCUGUUGCCGUGUUGCCAAGAAAACAUCCAUUCCCACAAAAGGACAAGAAGCAAGAAAUAAAAUGGUUUUGUGGAGAACAUAACACUUAAUAUUAUUAUUAUUAUUAUUAUUAUUACUAUAUGAUAUUAGUUACUUUUGAGCUCACAUGUGUCUACAAAGGCAGUGUAGUACUGUAGUAGGGUCUUUGGAAAUUGGAUUCAAAUCCAAAUUUUAAUAGACAAAAUUGAUACAUCAGUUAAGUUCACAGGUAAUUACUGAAAUGUAAGCGAAAUAUGACUAAUCCAUAGCAGUAUAUCUUUUGUUCACUAAGAGUGUACGCAGGUUUUCACUCCAAACCAACAGUACAAAGUACUGUACAACAGAUACGAGCGAUUAAUCCCCCCACAAUCCCCAUCUUGUGAUACAAGCUGGUUGAAGUGAGCCAGUGAAACGUUUGGUUGAAAGGAACCCCGCAGUCAUGUUCCCAGUGGGACUGUCCCAGUCUUGAAGGGUGGAGAGAAAAACACAGCAAGCGCUGAGAUGAAGGGAAAUAACAAAACAUGACGAAGAAAGGUGACUUGUGACAGUGGACGAGUGGGGCAACCUAACAGAGCAAUAACUUGUGACAAGAUACAAGGGAUGAAGAAAAACGGUCUGCACAGCAUGUUUGUAACACCUAUAUUAGAAUGCAGGCAAAACACCAGAACUGUUCUGGCAAUCAACUGUAACAUAAUGUGUAUAACAUCAACAAAUCUUACAUGCAGGUAUUCACACAGCAUCCAAACCGGCCAGAAUGUGCAAGUAAACGCAGAUUGAUAACGAAGAAACAAUUAAUAUAGCAACAGUCAAACGCAUGCAUGCAAAUGAUCACACACACACACACACACACACACACACACACACACACACACACACACACACACACACACACACACACACUCAUUCAAGGACAAAAAGAGGAAGCCUUUUUCUUGCAUGGAGGACUGUGUUAUGGUGGAUAAGAGUUGGAUCACAGAUUUCUGUAAGCAUGGACCAAUCAGGUUAGACCUGGAAGGACAUUUGAACAGAAGAAGAGUGAUCAUACCAGGAUGAGGUGCCAUGGCCUGUAACUAUGCAGCUAAAGACUCUAUUCCAAUAUAGGGGUUGGGCACAAAAACAUGAAUACUUGUUCAAAAUAAUGCAAUCAAUACAAAAGCUCUGCAGCUAAUACUCCGCAAUAAUACUCUGCAAUAAGCUAAUACUUUGUAAGCAAACUCUAGCCACUGAAGACCAUGAGAUUUGGUUGAAAGCUCUGUUUUGACUCAACUCUAGUGUAAUUUAAGUGAGUAAUGUGCAGGUGUUUUUUUGUGCACCUACUGUCUAUAAUAUGCACAAAGGUGGCAUUUAAAGGCUUAACAGUACAGAAAGAAUAUGGAUGUCAAGGAAACCUGCAGGGUAGGCUGCAGAUGUUCAGGGUCUGCUUCUACCUUUCCUUUAAUUUAG